AUGCCUCCGCUCAAACAAUACCAACUCGUCAUCAUCCAUUUCUUAAUAUCAUCAACACCCAAUACCCAUUUUUAGAAUUCUACGUGUUCUUCCAAAGCCCUCACCACCAUGGGUGUCUUCUCUAAACCAGCAAUUGAACAGUUGCCUCUCAUCAGAAACUGCAUGCCCUUCUCUGGAAUUCCUCUCAUAGACCUCUCACAACCUGACUCCAAAGCCCUCCUCAUUGAAGCCUGCCAAGAGUUUGGCUUCUUCAAGGUCAUCAACCAUGGUGUCCCGAUGGACCUCAUCUCCAAGUUGGAAGCUGAAGCUAUCAACUUCUUCUCACUUCCUCUCUCUGAGAA
rnacentral:lncRNA from 1 species